AUGCCUUUGCAGAUUAGCUCUUUUAGACCUAUUUAAGGAUAAAUUUAAUUACAUUUCAACUCUGAGAAGCAUAUUAUUUCAGAGCUUCCUUGAUUGCAUGGUGUAAAUGAAUCAAAGAAAUAACUGGAUAAAUAAAAUACGGUUUCUUCUAAGUGAAGAAAAUUAAUUCUAGCAAGUACACUUGCUUUUUGGAGCAGAACCUGAGAUCUGAAUCAUACCUGCGGGGCAUGGGUUUGUUAUGUGUCUUCAAGUCAUUUCCAAUCUAUGGUGACCCAAAGGCAACCCUAUUGCAGGGUUUGUGGGGCAAGAUUUGUUCAGAAGAGGUUUGCCAUGGUCCUCCUCGGAGACUGAGGGAGUAGGAGUUGACCAAGGGUCCCCACUGGGUUUCAUGGCUGAUUGGUGAUCCAAACCCUAGUCUCCAGCCUUGUAGACCAAUUUCAAACUAAGGCACACUGAUACUGUGGUAUCCUCGGUUUUCACUAGGUCAUGGCUCCAAGCACAUUAUUCAUUUGCUCUAUUUGCGGGGUGUGAUAAUCCCACUAACACACCCACACGCAUAGCCAAAGAGACAUUGUGCAGACCUAGGAGAGACACAGUCUUUCAAAAGGACAUGAACAGAGGAUGGGGACUUCAUCUCAGCCCUUUCCUGCCCAAAGAAUUGACCCUCUUGUCUUUUCCCUCUUUUUUAGCAAGUGACCAAAAAUUCAGCAUUUCUGAGGAAGGAAGUGAUAAAAAAUCCAACACUUCUAAGGAAGGAAGCGAUCAAAGCUUUGGCAGCACUGAGGAAGGUAAGUCCCUUUGGGGAGAUAGGGCCAGUAUACAAGUAAAGUUUAUUAUUAUUAAUGUUUAUUAAGUGUUAAGAAAGGGUUAGAAAUGUGGGUGGGGUGGUCUGUGUUGUGUCUUCCUCUUCUGCCUCUGAGGAGGAGUUGGAAGAUAAGGCUGAAGAGGAAGGGGCUGGGGAUUUUGGGCAGAUGGUCAGGCCUGCUCCGGAGGAAGAAGAAGAGGAGGGAGGCACGCUGGUUGCUCCAACUUUUCAAGAACGAAAAAGGGAGCAACAAGCAAGGAAUAGGUCCGCCAGGAUUGCUGAAAAGACACACAGCAAUCAGAUCACUCCCUGGAGACACGUGUGCUCUGGGCUGAAGGCUAUACAUCAGGAGCCGGGAAUACAGCCAUGGCUGGUAGCAACAGAUCCAGUUACCUAGCCUUUGACCCUGUAUCUGUUCCAGCACGUAGCCUCGCCUUUGUAAGUGUUUUUGCCUUGAGAAGAAAUUACUAAAGACUUUGCUCGGCCAAGAAACUUUUGCCUUCUUUUGUGAACUUGCCUGUUGUGAACUUGCUUUUAUGAAUGUGAUUUUG